GCAAGUCGAACGCGAAAGUCCCGCAAGGGAUUAGUAGAGUGGCAAACGGGUGAGUAACGCGUGGGUGACCUGCCUUCGAGCGGGGGAUAACGUCCCGAAAGGGACGCUAAUACCGCAUGACAUCCUGCCUUUGAAGAGGUGGAGAUCAAAGCCGGGGAUUCGCAAGAACCUGGCACUUGAAGAGGGGCCCGCGUCUGAUUAGCUAGUUGGUGGGGUAAUGGCUCACCAAGGCAACGAUCAGUAUCCGGCCUGAGAGGGCGGACGGACACACUGGGACUGAGACACGGCCCAGACUCCUACGGGAGGCAGCAGUGGGGAAUUGUUCGCAAUGGGCGCAAGCCUGACGACGCAACGCCGCGUGGAGGAUGAAGAUCUUCGGGUCGUAAACUCCUUUCGAUCGAGACGAAUGGCUUCCGGGUGAACAAUCCGGGAGAGUGACGGUACCGAGAGAAGAAGCCCCGGCUAACUCCGUGCCAGCAGCCGCGGUAAUACGGGGGGGGCAAGCGUUGUUCGGAAUUACUGGGCGUAAAGGGCUCGUAGGUGGCCAACUAAGUCAGACGUGAAAUCCCUCGGCUUAACCGGGGAACUGCAUCUGAUACUGGAUGGCUUGAGAUUGGGAGAGGGAUGCGGAAUUCCAGGUGUAGCGGUGAAAUGCGUAGAUAUCUGGAGGAACACCGGUGGCGAAGGCGGCAUCCUGGACCAACACUGACACUGAGGAGCGAAAGCCAGGGGAGCAAACGGGAUUAGAUACCCCGGUAGUCCUGGCCCUAAACGAUGAAUGCUUGGUGUGGCGGGUAUCGAUCCCUGCCGUGCC
rnacentral:rRNA from 1 species